rnacentral:rRNA from 1 species
UAGAACGAACGCUGGCGGCGCGUUUAAGCAUGCAAGUCGAGCGGCAGUAGCAAUACGAGAGCGGCGGACGGGUGAGUAACACGUGGGUAAUCUCGCCUACCAGGUCGGGGAUAGCCUGUGGAAACACAGGAUAAUACCGGAUGCGAUGCCCUGCACACAAGUGCGGGGCAGGAAAGGGGCCAAGGCCCCCGCUGGAAGAUGAGCCCGCGUCCCAUUAGCUAGAUGGCGGGGUAAAGGCCCACCAUGGCGAUGAUGGGUAGCCGGCCUGAGAGGGUGAACGGCCACAUUGGAACUGAGACACGGUCCAGACUCCUACGGGAGGCAGCAGCUAAGAAUCUUCCACAAUGGACGAAAGUCUGAUGGAGCGACGCCGCGUGGGCGAUGAAGGCCGUGAGGUUGUAAAGCCCUUUUCUUGAGGAGGAAUAAGCGGAUCAGGGAAUGGGUCUGCGAUGACGUGAAUCAAGGAAUAAGCCCCGGCUAACUACGUGCCAGCCGCGGC